rnacentral:ncRNA from 1 species
UCAUAAUUAGUAUAAUAUAAUAAUAUAUUUAUUUAAAUGAAAGAUUUAUAAAUUAUUUUAACUUUCUAAUUAAUUUAUUCAUUAAAUAUGAUAAAUUUUUUAAAUUAUAAUAUAAACUAAAUAUAGUGCCAGCAGUUGCGGUUAUACUAUUUAUAUUAAUAUAUUUUCACUUAAUUAAUUUUAUAUUUAUUAUAAAUACAAAUAUAUUAAGUAAAAUUUUAUAUUUAUAUUUAAAUUAUAUUAAAUUAAUUUAAUGCUUACUAACAAAAUAGGAUUAGAUACCCUAGUAUUAUAAGCUCAUCUAGGUAGUACAAACUUUAAAUUAAACCAAUAUAGUUUGGCGGCAUAAUUUUUCCUAGAGGAACUUGUUACUUAAUCGAUAAUCCGCGUUAAUUAUUACUUUAUUUAAAAAUUUAUAUACCGCCAUCUAAAGAAUUUAUUUAUUAAUAUAAUUCAAAAUAAUUUUAUAAAAAGUUAGGUAAUGGUGUAGUCUAUUUUAAAGAAUAUAAUGAGUUACAUAUAAUUAAAAAUUUUGGAAGAUUAUAUAAAUACAAUUAUUAAAUAGGAUUUAGAAGUAUUAUAUUAUUUUAAUUAAUAAUACUUUUAUAAGAAAUUUAUAAAAAUGUGUACAUAUCGCCCGUCACCCUUAUUUUAUAAUAAGGUAAGUCGUAACACAGUUGAUUUACCAGAAGGUAAAUCAA